AAACGUCAAUCCUUCCUUUAAUUCGACGUGACGUCAACAAUGGUAGUCGACGUCAACACAGACGGACGGAAGGACGGACGGACAGUUACCGCCACACCCACGUUCCCCAUCUAGCGAGCGCUUUACCACUGGGCCACGUCUGGACCCUUGAGUGGGGUCGGAAUCUUGAAAACGCACACUUUGUUUAUGUCUGAAUAAAUUGCAACAAGAGAAAAUAAAAUAAAAAAGAAGAAAACGAAAGAAAAACAGAAGAAAGGAAUAACAGAAAACAGAAGGAAAAAAAAGAAGAGAGAAAACGCAAAAGAAAACAAACGGGGGGGGGGGGGGGGUGAGUAUUUAUGACAACCAAUUAAAUUAAAACUUUUAUAAACGCAAAGGAAACACGUCUUCAACUCUUGUGUACUAAGAUAUCAUCUUCCAGUCCUACUAAUCACCGGAAUGUUGUGUGACUGGUAUUUAGACGUCAGCGUAUCAAAAAGCUUGCGCGGUGUAGUAUCAAUAAUUCGAAUGCGGGUGAGCUCGACGUUCGUGUCUGAAACUGCUAUUUUUGGCGGGGAAAUCCGCGUGGAGUGACCCCAUGAUGCAACAGUCAGAGCUGAAAUUAAAAACAAAAUGGAGGACAAUUAUUUUAGAAAUCAUAAAAAAUAUGGCUGAAGCUUUACCAUUUGGCAAUAUCCCCGUGAAUUCGUUUAUCCGUCAGUGUAGUCAUUCAUUUAUUCAUUCGCUCGUUCGUUCGUUCAAUCAUUUAUUCAUUGCAUUUUAUUGAUCUGUUUAAUGAAAC